GAUCAUUAUUGAAAAAGCUUUCGAGUUUUUUUUUUUAUAUCCCUUUGUUUAUCUACCACGUUGCUUUCACUGGCCAUGUCCUCUAAUUCUAAAUCAGAGACAACUCAGCCAAGGGUUUAUUUCAAAACACUUUUUUGGGGAAGCUGCCAGUGAAGAAAACUAGCACCUAAACUUGAGCUAAAAUCAAUUGUCUGAAUCAAAACCUUUUGAAUGAAAUAAAACUUUCAACAAUGGAUCUCUAGGCUCUUGCAUCGAUGAARAACGCAGKGAAAUGCGAUAAGUAAUGKGAAUUGCARAAUCUCGGGAAUCAUCGAAUCUUUGAACGCACAUUGCGCCCUAUGGUAUUCCGUAGGGCAUGCCUGUCUGAGCGUCAGCUCCCCCCCAACUCAAGCUUCUUUUUGAAAUARAAGCCUGGUUUAUCUUGGAGAAGUCUCUCUACCUACAGAGUCACUCUUCAGCAAUUAAUAGGCAGUAUGGUUUGUACCUGUUAUCAGACGUAAUAAGAAUAUAAAUUCGUUUGAAGGAGACCAGCCUGUACUUGCCCUAACUCAUCCAUUCUUCUUUUGGGUGACCUCAGAUCAGGUAGG
rnacentral:rRNA from 1 species